GCCCGGGUGGUGGAAUUGGUAGACACAAGGGACUUAAAAUCCCUCGGUAGUGAUACUGUGCGGGUUCAAAUCCCGCCCCGGGUACCA
rnacentral:tRNA from 1 species